rnacentral:misc_RNA from 1 species
GAUGAAGAACGCAGCGAAAUGCGAUACGUAAUGUGAAUUGCAGAAUUCAGUGAAUCAUCGAAUCUUUGAACGCAUAUUGCGCUCUCUGGUAUUCCGGAGAGCAUGCUUGUUUGAGUAUCAGUAAACACCUCAACUCCCUUUUCUUUUUUGAAAUGGGAGCUGGACUUGAGUGAUCCCAACACUUUUCUCACUGGAAAGUGGCGGGUCACUUGAAAUGCAGGUGCAGCUGGACUUUUCUCUGAGCUAUAAGCAUAUCUAUUUAGUCUGCCUAAAAAACAGAUUAUUACCUUUGCUGCAGCUAACAUAAAGGAGAUUAGUUCUUGUGCUGACUGAUGCAGGAUUCACAAAGACGGCUUCGGCCGACUUUGUAAACUCGAUCUCAAAUCAAGUAAGACUACCCGCUGAACUUAAGCAUAUCAAUAAGCGGAGGA